GACGAACGCUGGCGGCGUGCUUAAUACAUGCAAGUCAACUUGACUCUAGAUAGCAAUAUCGAAAAGUAGGGUGGCGCACGGGUGCGUAACGCGUAGGUAAUCUGCCCUGAGGUCUGACAUAACCCGUCGAAAGGCGGGCUAACAUCAGAUGAUAUAUAAUCACGACAUCGUGGAAAUAUCAAAUCUUCGGAGCCUUGGGAUGAGCCUGCGUCUGAUUAGGUAGUUGGCGGAGUAAUAGCCCACCAAGCCUACGAUCAGUAGCUGGUCUGAGAGGAUGAUCAGCCACACUGGAACUGAGACACGGUCCAGACUCCUACGGAGGCAGCAGUAAGGAAUAUUG
rnacentral:rRNA from 1 species